rnacentral:lncRNA from 1 species
UCUGCUGCAGUUUGGGAAGUGCCUUGAGAGUUGCUGUCAAGGUGCUUGAGAGGCACAAACAACAUUCACUAUUGAAAUAUUGCUACCCCCAGACAUCAAGAAGGUGAAUGUUUAAUGUGUGUGUGUGUUUUGUUUGCCUGUUUGUUUGUUUUUGUUUGAUUUGUUUGUUUUGAAUUUCAAGGUGCAGUGUUUCUAUUAUCUGAGAUGAAGAACUAGUUUUUCAGGUCCUCGAUGUCCGGUCUAUCCUGCCCCAUUGAACACAAAUACCUGGCAGAUAGAUAUGUGUCAGAUAGAUCCUGAGCUUAUGUUCAUCUUUCAAGCACCCUAAACUCACCUGCAUACCUUGCAGCGUGCAACUUAUCAAAAUCUUCUCCUUGCAGCUGGUGAUUUUGUCUUCCUGGUGUCAGCCUGUCAGCCUGAGCCUUGAGUGUGGAGACCCUCUUCUCCUUGAGUGCAUCACAGGCCGAAAGCAAAGAUCCACGGGCCUCAGUGGAGAAGCUGCUGGGAAGAUCCCAUGCGAAGAAGGCAACGCUGACAGCAUGUUAACUGCAACACCCUUAUUGGAGCUGGCACACUCAACUUCCUUGCACGCUAGUUUUAUUGGCUUUACGUAACAGCUCGUGCUGCAGCCUUGCAAGCAACUAUAUCCACUAAACACGUCUACCUGGGUGGGUGCCAAACCCAAAGAUAAUCUUGAACAAGUGCCAGACUUGAGAAAAUCCUGCAGACACAUCUAAGCCUGCAAUCAAUAUUUCAGGGUUUGCAGGCACCUAUUUAUAUUUACAGAGGUUACAGGGAACUCUGGUUUAUGGAUAUUCAAAUGAAAAAGAGGGUUCACCAAUUUUCUUACAGUCCUCCCCUCUAAGGAAAGUUCUUUCCCUGUCUGCCACAGAGCAGAGGGAAAACAGAUCAUUGCAUAGGCUACACCUUCCAUCAGGCUUUUUAUGUUACACAGGUGACAUGGUAUGUCAGUGACAGUAUGGGGCAGCUCUCAGACAAGACCUCCCACCCAGCAGACUGAGAAGGGGCUGGGAUGAGCUCCUACCAGUCCUGACAGCUGGAUGAGGCACAGAUAAACAUUUUUCAGCAGGGAGCAAGUGACUCUAGACCAAAGUUUUUUCUGUUCUGCUGUUGCUCUCUGAAAGAAAUGAGGAAGUAACGCAAUCUCCAACACCAGUUCCACCUCUGUCUCACCCUGACCAGAAGGCUAAGACCCUCAGGGUGGAGAGGUAACCUGUUCCAAGCAGAGGACUGCAAGGUGGGUCCCGGCAGCGUGCACUCAGGAUCACUGCUGAGAAAGGGAGAAAGAGCGAGCAAGUGCCCCCCUCCCUCUGCUGGUGGCUUGCUGUAAUCAGCAGCGGACCUGCCUAGAUUUAACAGGAGACAGGGAUGUCUUAGUCUGGCUGGGAUUUCUUCGUUAGGAAGACCUGGCACCAUUUGUAGAU